AAGAACCUUUGAUAAGAUGAAAGGAUUUUUCAUUAAAAGUAAAUUUGAUGAAAGGGCUUAAUUUGUGAGGGCGUUUAGAGAGCAAGCACGUGAAGAUGGUAUGUGUGGAGCAAUGAUUGAAUAGAAAUGGGCAAUUUUUGUGGAAAUAGGCCCAAAGAAGAGAAGGGGUGAAAUGUAUGUAACGUGACAAGUGAUGUGCCGUCAUUUUCAUGCCUUGUCGUCACAGUUGCAAAAUGGUGGGCCACGUGAGUUAACCCCGCAACUCACGUGCAAAAUUACAAAACGAUAUAGCAUAUGAUAUAAUUUAUGCAAACCACUGCUACUCCUCACCGUCCAACCAACCAAACGCUAAUUUGGGUCCGCCUGCUUGGCACCGGCGUUUCCACGUG
rnacentral:misc_RNA from 1 species